UGGUUGAUCCUGCCAGUAGUCAUAUGCUUGUCUCAAAGAUUAAGCCAUGCAUGUCUAAGUACAAGCCUCACUAAGGUGAAACCGCGAAUGGCUCAUUAAAUCACACCUAAUGUACUGGACAGUCUCAGUUACUUGGAUAACUGCGGUAAUUCUGGAGCUAAUACAUGCGUACUAGCCGCGACUCACGGAGCGGUGCUUUUAUUAGAUCAAAACCAAACGGCCUCGAGCCGUCCCCCUGGUGAUUCUGAAUAACUUUGGGCUGAUCGCACGGACUCGUUCCGGCGACGUGUCCUUCCAAGGUGUGCCCUAUCAACUGUCGACUGUGGCAUAGACGCCCACGGUGGUUUUGACGGGUAACGGGGAAUUAGGGUUCGAUUCCGGAGAGGGAGCCUGAGAAACGGCUACCACUUCUACGGAAGGCAGCAGGCACGCAAAUUACCCACUGGCCGAAGGCCGAGGUAGUGACGAAAAAUAACGAUACCGGACUCAUCCGAGGCCCGGUAAUCGGAAUGAGUACACUUUAAAUCCUUUAACGAGGAACAAUUGGAGGGCAAGUCUGGUGCCAGCAGCCGCGGUAAUUCCAGCUCCAAUAGCGUAUAUUAAAGUUGUUGCGGUUAAAAAGCUCGUAGUUGGAUCUCGGCGGGCAGGGGGUGGUUCGCUCUUCAGCGCUACUGCCCCGCUUUGCCCGUGUGAUUGGCGGAGGUUUCGGGGUGCUCUUCGUUGAGUGACUCGGAGCGCCGUCAGGUUUACUUUGAAAAAUUAGAGUGCUCAAAGCACGCUUUUCACGCUUGAAUAUUCGUGCAUGGAAUAAUGGAAUAGGAACUCGUUUCUAUUUUGUUGGUUUUCGGAAAUCGAGUUAAUGAUUAACAGGGACAAUUGGGGGCAUUAGUAUUCAGACGACAGAGGUGAAAUUCUUGGACCGUCUGAAGACUGACUACUGCGAAAGCAUUUG
rnacentral:rRNA from 1 species